UGGGGAAUAUUGGACAAUGGGCGCAAGCCUGAUCCAGCAAUGCCGCGUGGGUGAAGAAGGCCUGCGGGUUGUAAAGCCCUUUAGGCGGGGAGGAACGGUCGGAUGCCAACACCAUCCGGCGCUGACGUUACCCGCGGAAUAAGCACCGGCUAACUCCGUGCCAGCAGCCGCGGUAAUACGGAGGGUGCGAGCGUUAAUCGGAAUUACUGGGCGUAAAGCGUGCGUAGGCGGUUCGGUCAGUCAGCCGUGAAAGCCCCGGGCUCAACCUGGGAACGGCGGUUGAGACGGCCGGACUGGAGUGGGCUAGAGGAUCGUGGAAUUCCGGGUGUAGCGGUGAAAUGCGUAGAGAUCCGGAGGAACACCGAUGGCGAAGGCAGCGGUCUGGGGCCACACUGACGCUGAGGCACGAAAGCGUGGGGAGCAAACAGG
rnacentral:rRNA from 1 species